ACGCACGUGUGAAACUUGAAGGAAUUGACGGAAGGGCACCACAAGAACGCGUGGAGCAUGUGGCUUAAUUUGACUCAACGCGGGAAAUCUUACCGGGUCCGGACACACUGAGGAUUGACAGGCAAUAUUAAAUAAAGAAAAUUUUUGGACUAUCUGAUAUUUAUGUUAAAUAUGCUAGUCCUUUCAUGAUUAUGUGAUAGGUGGUGCAUGGCCGUUCUUAGUUCGUGGAGUGAUCUGUCUGCUUAAUUGCGUUUCACUGUGGACAUUGUAAAGUAGUGUGUGCGCACUAAUAUUUCGGUAUUAGUUGCUGCCUACUACUCCAAAUUGUCCUGAAGGCAACGAACGUGACCG
rnacentral:rRNA from 1 species